rnacentral:rRNA from 1 species
ACCCCUGUGACAUACCUUAAUGUUGCCUCGGCGGAUCAGCCCGCGCCCCGUAAAACGGGACGGCCCGCCAGAGGACCCAAACUCUAAUGUUUCUUAUUGUAACUUCUGAGUAAAACAAACAAAUAAAUCAAAACUUUCAACAACGGAUCUCUUGGUUCUGGCAUCGAUGAAGAACGCAGCAAAAUGCGAUAAGUAAUGUGAAUUGCAGAAUUCAGUGAAUCAUCGAAUCUUUGAACGCACAUUGCGCCCGCUGGUAUUCCGGCGGGCAUGCCUGUUCGAGCGUCAUUUCAACCCUCAAGCCCCCGGGUUUGGUGUUGGGGAUCGGCUCUGCCUCACGGCGGUGCCGCCCCCGAAAUACAUUGGCGGUCUCGCUGCAGCCUCCAUUGCGUAGUAGCUAACACCUCGCAACUGGAACGCGGCGCGGCCAUGCCGUAAAACCCCAACUUCUGAAUGUUGACCUCGGAUCAGGUAGGAAUACCCGCUGAACUUAAGCAUAUCAAUAAGCGGAGGAAA